rnacentral:lncRNA from 1 species
GCCGGCUAGUAACAGGUUCAGGGUAGAGUACCGGGUGGUAGCCGGUUAGUAACAGCUUCAUGGUAUAGUACUUGGUGGUAGCCGGCUAGUAACAGUCUCUAAGGUUCAGGGUAGAGUACCGGGUGGUAGCCUGCUAGUAACAGGUUCAGGGUAGAGUACCAUGUGGUAGCCGGGUAGUAACAGGUUCAGGGUAGAGUACCGGGUGGUAGCCAGCUAGUAACAGGUUCAGGGUCGAGUACUGGGUGGUAGCCAGCUAGUAACAGGUUCAGGGUAGAGUACUGGGUGUUAGCUGGCUAGUAACAGGUUCAGGG